rnacentral:rRNA from 1 species
CCUACGGGUGGCAGCAGUAGGGAAUAUUGCUCAAUGGGGGAAACCCUGAAGCAGCAACGCCGCGUGGGGGAUGAAGGUUUUAGGAUUGUAAACCCCUUUUGUUAGAGAAGAUACUGACGGUAUCCGACGAAUAAGCACCGGCUAAGUCAGGGCCAGCAGCCGCGGUAAUACGGCGGGCGCAAGCGUUACUCGGAAUCAAUGGGCGUAAAGAGUGCGUAGGCGGGGUAAUAAGUCAGAUGUGAAAUCCUGUAGCUUAACUACAGAACUGCAUUUGAAACUGUUACUCUAGAGUGUGGGAGGGGUAGGUGGAAUUCUUGGUGUAGCGGUGAAAUGCGUAGAGAUCAAGAGGAACACUCAUUGCGAAGGCGACCUGCUGGAACAUUACUGACGUUGAUGCACGAAAGCGUGGGGAGCAAACAGGAUUAGAUACCCGAGUAGUC